GGAUCGCAGGCUGCAACCCGCCUGCGUGAAGUCGGAAUCGCUAGUAAUCGCGGAUCAGCAUGCCGCGGUGAAUACGUUCCCGGGCCUUGUACACACCGCCCGUCACACCAUGAGAGUCGGGAACACCCGAAGCCCGUAGCCUAACAGCAAUGAGGGCGCGGUCGAAGGUGGGUUCGAUAAUUGGGGUGAAGUCGUAACAAGGUAAC
rnacentral:rRNA from 1 species